UGUCGCUCGCUGCUGCCAUACUGGCGGAAGCGGAAGUGGAGCUGGGACGCUGGGGGUGGGCUGGGCUGCCGCGUCCCCUGCGGUCUUGGCCUUGAGGGGCGGCGGCCGGCGUGAUGGAGAAACGCAGGAUGAACCUGCCUACGGGGCCGGACACGCUGUGCUUCGAUAAGGACGAGUUCAUGAAGGAGGAUUUCGAUGUGGACCACUUUGUGUCUGACUGCAGGAAGCGGGUGCAGCUGGAGGAGCUGAGAGACGACCUGGAGCUGUAUUACAAGCUGCUGAAGACGGCCAUGGUGGAGCUCAUCAACAAGGACUACGCCGACUUUGUCAACCUCUCAACAAACCUGGUUGGCAUGGACAGAGCCCUCAACCAACUUUCUGUGCCUUUGGGACAGUUACGAGAAGAGGUUCUGAGUCUUAGGUCCUCUGUCAGUGAAGGAAUUCUGGCAGUAGAUGAACGAAUGUCUAAGCAAGAAGACAUUAGGAAGAAAAAGAUGAGUGUGUUGAGACUUAUACAAGUUAUUCGAUCGGUUGAGAAAAUUGAGAAAAUCUUAAACUCUCAAAGUUCUAAAGAUGUAUCUUCACAAGAAGCAAGCAGCCCACUCCUGACCGGACAGGUUUUGGAGAGAAUUGCCACAGAGUUUAACCAGCUUCAGUUUCAUGCUGUGCAGAGCAAGGGCAUGCCCCUUUUGGACAAAGUGAGACCUCGUAUAGCUGGCAUCACAGCCAUGUUGCAGCAGUCUCUGGAAGGCCUCCUGCUGGAAGGUUUGCAGACCUCAGAUGUGGACAUCGUCCGGCACUGCCUGCGCACCUAUGCCACCAUUGAUAAGACACAGGAUGCAGAAGCUCUGGUGGGCCAAGUCCUGGUGAAGCCAUAUGUCAAUGAGGUAAUCGUCGAGCAGUUCGUUGAGUCUCACCCCAGUAGCCUUCAGCUCAUGUACAACAAGCUUCUGGAAUUUGUCCCUCACCACUGCCGCCUUCUCCGGGAAGUCACAGGAGGAGCUGUGUCAAGUGAGAAAGGCACUAUCGUUCCUGGCUAUGAUUUCUUGGUGAAUUCUGUGUGGCCAGAAAUAGUUCGAGGCCUAGAGGAAAAGCUACCCUCGCUCUUCAACCCUGGGGACCCAGACGCCUUUCACCAGAAAUACACUGUGAGCAUGGACUUUGUGCAGAGGUUUGAGCGGCAGUGUGGAUCCCAGGCCAGCGUAAAGCGACUUCGAGCACACCCUGCCUAUCACAACUUCAGCAAUAAGUGGAACCUGCCUGUUUACUUUCAGAUAAGGUUCCGAGAAGUGGCAGGAUCCCUGGAAGCAGCCCUCACAGACGGGCUCGAGGACGCCCCAGCUGGAAGUCCGUAUUGCCUUUUGGCUUCUCACAGAACAUGGAUCAGCCUGGGCAAAUGCUGGUCCGAUGAGAUGUUCCUACCUUUGUUGGCACACCGUCUGUGGAGGCUCACGCUGCAGAUUCUGGCCAGAUUCUCUGUGUUUGUCAGUGAGCUUUCUGUCAGGCCCGUUUCUAAUGAGAGUGCCAAGGAGACUAAAAAGCCUUUGACUGGCAGCAAAGACCCUUCGGAAGACCAAGGAAGCCAUGCUUCAGAAGCAAGCGCCGCGUCCAUUUCUAGCACUCAGCUGGUGUAUGUGGUCUCAGACCUGGGCAGGCUGCAGGAAUGGCUUCCAGACCUCCUGGAGACGGUCAAGCAGAAACUCGAAAUGAUUGGCUUUAAGAAUUUUUCGUCUAUCUCAGCUCGCCCUAGCUGGACCAGUGACUCAUUCCACUGCCCUGUGUCACAGCGGCCCUGGAAGACUCCCAGAGUGCCUUGUCUGCCCAUGUGCCGGCUCUGAGCAGCAGGAUUGUCCAGGACCUGAGUGAGUCUUGCUUCAGUUAUCUCAAGAGUGCCCUGGAGGUCCCCAGGCUUUACCGCAGGACCAAUAAGGAGGUCCCCAGCACAGCCUCUUCAUAUGUAGACAGUGCACUGAAGCCACUGUACCAGCUUCAGAGUGGACAUGGGGACAAGGUGCAGCCAGCAGUGAUGCAGAGCUGGCUGCAGGAAGCUCUGUCGGACAGCACACACAGGUACUUUGAGACUGUGUCAGACGUGCUGAACUCAGUGAAGAAGAUGGAGGAAAGCCUGAAACGCCUCAAACAAGCCAGGAGAUCCCCAGCCACCAACCCUGUCAGCUCCAGCGGCGGUGGUAUGAGUGAUGACGACAAGAUCCGACUGCAGCUGGCCCUGGACGUGGAGCACCUGGGAGAACAGAUACAAAGGAUGGGCUUGCAGACCAGCGACAUCAAGAGCUUCCCAGCCCUCAUGGAGCUCGUCCUUGCUGCCAGGGACCAGGCGGCUGCAGAACAGCCCUAGGCAUCCUGGCAGGACCUGGAGUAGGGAAGAAAGCAACCCUUGUCCUCCGGGUCACCCAGCAACAGCCUGUACCUCCGCCCACUUAUAUGGGCCAUCUUUCACCAAGAAAGAACCAAAAGCCUUUCCAUUGUAUGGAAGAUAGUUUUUAAGACAUUCAAAGCUUUUUGCUCUAGUUUACAGAACAAAUUGUUUUAUUUUUAUUGUAAAUCUUAGUGUAGACCAGCUGAUGUCUACAAUAUGGUAAAAGUAAAUCGACAAGUGUGGCUGGUGGGCUGUCCUGGCCCUGCAGGGCAAGCACUGGGCAGGAUGCACCAAUGCAGAGUAGAACUUUGAUUGUCCCCAACCCUCCGACCUGGGAGAUACUGUCAGCCCUGGGCCUCCUUAGAGGCUACAAAGUGGCCCGUCCAUCUGGGCACAGAAGAGUAGCACUUCCAAUCUUGCCAAUCCGCACCUCUGUCAGAGCCAGAGCCGGCAGUAAAGAUUCAUUUCCUAAAUAAAAGAAGUACCUACUGCAAA